rnacentral:lncRNA from 1 species
GUCCGCUCGGGCCCUACGUCUCCGCAAACCCCACGCUUCGGGGUGGCCGCCUCAGACAGGACCCUGAGUCCGAGACUGGGGUAGGGGACCUGCCCGAUCCUGUAACAACCCUCGUGCUUCUGCGCAAUCGCCUCCCACUAGCGUAUCUUAAAUAGUGAAGAUGGAGAAAUAUUCAAUAAUGAAGAGCAUGAAUAUGCAUCCAAAAAAAGGAAAAAAGACCAUUUUAGAAAUGACACAAAUACUCAAAGUUUUUAUCGUGAAAAAUGGAUCUAUGUCCAUAAAGAAAGCACAAAAGAAAGGCAUGGCUAUUGCACCUUGGGAGAAGCCUUUAAUCGGUUAGACUUCUCAAGUGCAAUUCAA